AAGUGAGCGAAAUUCCUUGUCGGGUGAAUGAACUUGCCCGAAAGUUCUGGUGACAGAGCUUUAGUAAACCAACUCAUAACGAAGAACCCGGUAAAAGGGAACCUCGUGGGAAG
rnacentral:rRNA from 12 species